rnacentral:tRNA from 5 species
GGGGAAUUAGCUCAGUUGGUAGAGCACUACGAUGGCAUUGUAGGGGUCAGCGGUUCGAGCCCGCUAUUCUCCA